rnacentral:rRNA from 1 species
GAGUUUGAUCGUGGCUCAGAUUGAACGCUGGCGGCAUGCCUUACACAUGCAAGUCGAACGGCAGCACGGGAGCCUGCUCCUGGUGGCGAGUGGCGAACGGGUGAGUAAUGCAUCGGAACGUAUCCUGGAGUGGGGGAUAACGUAGCGAAAGUUACGCUAAUACCGCAUAUUCUGUGAGCAGGAAAGCGGGGGACCUUCGGGCCUCGCGCUCUUGGAGCGGCCGAUGUCGGAUUAGCUAGUUGGUGAGGUAAAGGCUCACCAAGGCGACGAUCCGUAGCAGGUCUGAGAGGAUGAUCUGCCACACUGGAACUGAGACACGGUCCAGACUCCUACGGGAGGCAGCGAGUGGGGAAUUUUGGACAAUGGGGGCAACCCUGAUCCAGCCAUGCCGCGUGAGUGAAGAAGGCCU